rnacentral:rRNA from 1 species
GAUGAACGCUGGCGGCGUGCCUAAUACAUGCAAGUCGAGCGAACGGACGAGAAGCUUGCUUCUCUGAUGUUAGCGGCGGACGGGUGAGUAACACGUGGAUAACCUACCUAUAAGACUGGGAUAACUUCGGGAAACCGGAGCUAAUACCGGAUAAUAUUUUGAACCGCAUGGUUCAAAAGUGAAAGACGGUCUUGCUGUCACUUAUAGAUGGAUCCGCGCUGCAUUAGCUAGUUGGUAAGGUAACGGCUUACCAAGGCAACGAUGCAUAGCCGACCUGAGAGGGUGAUCGGCCACACUGGAACUGAGACACGGUCCAGACUCCUACGGGAGGCAGCAGUAGGGAAUCUUCCGCAAUGGGCGAAAGCCUGACGGAGCAACGCCGCGUGAGUGAUGAAGGUCUUCUGAUCGUAAAACUCUGUUAUUAGGGAAGAACAUAUGUGUAAGUACCUGUGCACAUCUUGACGGUACCUAAUCAGAAAGCCACGGCUAACUACGUG